GGAAGGAUGCCGGAGUGGUCAAACGGCGCUGUUUCGAACACAGAUGGGCGGUAACGCCACGGGGGUUCGAAUCCCUCUCCUUCCGCCA
rnacentral:tRNA from 1 species